UAUGGUUACAUUCUUUGUGUAUUGGGAUGAGCAUAGAAGAUCUUUUCUAGGUUUCUGUUUUCUUUUCAAUUAAGUGAUUUGUCCCUCUUUUUUGCUUCAAUCGAAUCUUGAAUAUCCAUUAUAAUGCAGGGAAGAAAAAUCAGCUUUUAGUAUCGAAUGGCACAGAGAAUGGUUUUUCUUAUCAACACGAAUUGAUAAGAAAUCACAAUUAGUAGCUAUGACUGAUUCUGGUGACAGUAGCCAUCUUGUUUAAACCAUUUCUUAGUAGCUACUUCUUUCAUGAAAUUUUGAUUUAGUUUAGUUAGUUUUCUAUUUUUCUGAUUAGUUCAAUCCUAAAAAUUAGUGGUUUCAAUCAACAUGAUUUUUCGAAUGCGGGGAUUUCUUUCUCCUUCUUGCAGAAUUC
rnacentral:lncRNA from 1 species